rnacentral:lncRNA from 1 species
UUUUACAUGAAGCAUCUAUUAUAAUAAUAUCAUUUGAUAUAAAAGCAAGAAAAUUAGAAUAAGUAAAUAUACAAUAUAACAAAAAUAAAAAAAUAGGUAAAAUACAAUUAAUAAAUGAAAAAUCUAAAUUAAACAUCUCUCUAAAAAAUGUAUAGUAAAAUAAAUAAUAAAUUAGUAUACAAUAUAUUAAAUAGAAAUAUUAUAUUAAGCAUCUAUCGUAUUAUUAGAAUAAGUAAAUAUACUAUAUAAGGAAAAUAAAAACAAAUCUGAGAAACAUACAAUAAAAUAAAUUAUAAGUAAAUAUAAAAUAUCAGAAAUAUAAAUAUUAGAUUAAACAUUAAUAAAUAAUAUUAUCAUUUGAUUUAAAAGUAAAAAAAAAAAUAGAAUAAGUAAAUAUACAAUAUAAGAAAAAUAAACAAUAGGUAAAAUACAAUGAAGAAGUGCAAAAACUACAUUAAACAUCUAUCUCAAAAAGGUAUUGUUUUACAUUUUCAUUAUUUAAAACUACAAUAAGUGAAUAUUAAUGCUAAAUAUUAUAAUAAGUAAAUAUAAAAUAUACGAAAGAAUAAAUAAUAAGUAAAUAUAAUAUAUAAGAAAUAAAAAAAUAUUACAUUAAAUACAUAUCGUAAUAUUAUCAUUGAUAUAAAAGUAAGAAAUUUAGAAUAAGAAAAUAUAAAAAAUAAAAAAAAGAUAAACAGUAAGUAAAUAUACAAUAUAAAAAAUGGAAAAACUAAAUUAAAUAUUUAUCUGAAAAAUAUAUAGUUAAAUGCAAAAAUGUAUAUUUAAAUAAAUAAUAAGCAAAU